CAGUAGCCGCGGGAAUACGUAGGUCCCGAGCGUUGUCCGGAUUUAUUGGGCGUAAAGGGAGCGCAGGCGGUUUAGUAAGUCUGAAGUUAAAGGCAUUGGCUCAACCAAUGUAUGCUUUGGAAACUGUUAGACUUGAGUGCAGAAGGGGAGAGUGGAAUUCCAUGUGUAGCGGUGAAAUGCGUAGAUAUAUGGAGGAACACCGGUGGCGAAGGCGGCUCACUGGUCCAUUACUGACGCUGAGGUGCGAAAGCGUGGGGAGCGAACAGGAUUAGAUACCCCGGUAGUCCCUGUCUCUUAUACA
rnacentral:rRNA from 1 species